CAGCUGUGUGGAUGAGAAGGGUUAGUCUGGGGACAGGCGUCGGAAGGACGGGAGCAGGAAAGACUCCAGGUGAUGCAGGCACGCAUAGCAUGGCGGGCCUGUAAUCUCAGGGAAUGUUCCACAGCUGCUUCGUCGUCUCAAGCACAGACCCCUCUCGAGUCCUCCACCUCCUCAUCUUCUCUGUGCCAAUCACCAGCUGGGAACUUUCAGUCCCCUAGGAACUGAGCUCCGCUGUAAAGCACCGCUUUCAAUGGAGAGAAAUGCUGUUCAUCUCUUAUGAUAUAUCCUGUUUGAAGCUUCCAAAUAUUGCUUUUUUAUUUUGAUUUUUAAAAACAGAACUACUCCAAAGGGUAGUGAGCACUGGGAAGCUGAGGCUGUGGUCUAAAUUCCCCCUGAAAGUCGUAACCACGGUGAGAUUUUGUCUGUGUAUCAAUCAUACCGUGUCCAUCCUCGUUCUCUGUUCCCGUCACUCCAAGUGUGAGAAGAGACGGAGGACUGCGACAAAGGAGAAGUUCCAGGACUCUGCCUUCUGUUUCUCCUUUUUCUUUUCCAGAGUAAAAUCACCUUGAAAUUACUGGUAAGAAGUUGUAGGCAAUCUGGCUAAGCUACUUGUGGAUUUGUCUUGGCAAGAGUGAAAAUUGGUAAAUUUUGUUUCCUGCCCUGUGCUCUGCAGCUGUUGAAGCUAUUUAUCUGAUUCAGGCAUGCCAAUAACAUAAAUAAUGUUGGCACUGAGACAUGGCUUCCCGUCACUAGAGACUAAGCAUCGAGUUUGGGGGUGAGUCGGUUUGUCAGCUCUGUUAGUGAGAAGACUGGAGAGAAGAGGGUUUAAGCCCAAGCCCCGAGGGGACGAGCAAUAAUAUAGAUGGAAACCUAUGGAUCAAAAAGGUGACAGGUUGACUUGCCUUUUCCUUCUGCCUCAGGCUACACUUGGAGCCUCUCUUUGUUGCCACAGCUGAAGUCAGAGCAAACCUACAACCUUGACAAACCCAGAGGAAGAAGUCCUCUGCGCAGACACUAAAGUGGUGGUUCCCAUGACCCAGUGAAGUACGAAUACAAGGAAUUCAAAAUCCUUAAGGGGCCCCCCUCAAUGUGUAAUGUACCGUGCUAGCAGCAAACGCUGAAGAAUUUUUCCUCAAGUUUAGGGACACGGAGUUUGCGUUCUGUCAGAGUAACAGUCUGCAUUGAAGCGGAGGUCAGGAGGAAACUCUUCCCGGGUGAGACGAACGACCACCACCGCCCUUUCCUCUCGCAAGGCGCUGAGUCGGCU
rnacentral:lncRNA from 1 species